rnacentral:rRNA from 1 species
UAGUUCGAUCAUGGCUCAGGAUGAACGCUGGCGGCAUGCCUAAUACAUGCAAGUCGAACGGAGUGAGGCCUUCGGGUUUCAUUCAGUGGCGAACGGGUGAGUAAUACGCAGGGAACCUGGCCAUGGCAGGGGGAUACACUCUGGAAACGGAGCAUAAGACCCCAUAGGCAGUAAGGCGGCAUCGCCUUACUGUUAAAGAAAGCUGAAAGGCUUUGGCGAUGGAUGGACCUGCGGUGCAUUAGCUUGUUGGUGAGGCAACGGCUUACCAAGGCGAUGAUGCAUAGCCGGCCUGAGAGGGCGGACGGCCACACUGGGACUGAGACACGGCCCAGACUCCUGCGGGAGGCAGCAGUAGGGAAUUUUCGUCAAUGGGCGCAAGCCUGAACGAGCAAUGCCGCGUGAGUGAGGAAGGUCUUCGGACUGUAAAGCUCUGUUGCCGGGGAAAAAGGGGAAAUGCAGGGAAUGGCAUUUCAUGGAUGGUACCCGACCAGAAAGCCACGGCUAACUACGUGCCAGCAGCCGCGGUAAUACGUAGGUGGCGAGCGUUAUCCGGAAUGAUUGGGCGUAAAGGGUGCGCAGGCGGUCUGUUAAGUCUGAAGGCAAAGGGAUGAGCUCAACUCAUUUAUGAUUCAGAAACUGGCAGACUUGAGGACAGGAGAGGGCGGUGGAACUCCAUGUGUAGCGGUAAAAUGCGCAGAGAUAUGGAAGAACACCAGUGGCGAAGGCGGCCGCCUGGCCUGUGACUGACGCUGAGGCACGAAAGCGUGGGGAGCAAAUAGGAUUAGAUACCCUAGUAGUCCACGCCGUAAACGAUGAGGAGCAGGUGUUGGGAGUGAAAUCUCAGUGCCGAAGCCAACGCAGUGACUCCUCCGCCUGGGGAGUAUGCACGCAAGUGUGAAACUCAAAGGAAUUGACGGGGGCCCGCACAAGCGGUGGAGUAUGUGGUUUAAUUCGAAGCAACGCGAAGAACCUUACCAGGUUUUGACAUCGGAUGCGAAGGCGCAGAGAUGCGCUGGAGGCUAUCAUCCAGACAGGUGGUGCAUGGUUGUCGUCAGCUCGUGUCGUGAGAUGUUCAGUUAAGUCUGGCAACGAGCGCAACCCCCGUGGUAUGUUACUAACGCAUUUGGGCGAGGACUCAUAUCAGACUGCCGGUGACAAACCGGAGGAAGGCGGGGAUGACGUCAAAUCAUCAUGCCCCUUAUGACCUGGGCUACACACGUACUACAAUGGCGUCUACAGAGGGAAGCGACCCUGAGAAGGGAAGCGAAACCGGAAAAGGGCGUCCCAGUUCGGAUUGAAGUCUGCAACCCGACUUCAUGAAGAUGGAAUCGCUAGUAAUCGCGGAUCAGCAUGCCGCGGUGAAUACGUUCCCGGGCCUUGUACACACCGCCCGUCAAACCAUGGAAGCCGGCAACGCCCGAAGCCGGUGGCAUAACCUUUUAGGAGUGAGCCGUCGAAGGCGGGGCCGAUGACUGGGGUUAAGUCGUAACAAGGUAGCC